AGCAGCCGCGGUAAUUCCAGCUCCAAUAGCGUAUAUUAAAGUUGUUGCAGUUAAAAAGCUCGUAGUUGAAUUUCGGGAUCAGCAGGUUGGUCGUGCCUCUGGUAUGCACUGGUUUCGCUGAUUCCUCCUUUCUGAAGAACUGUAAUGUCAUUAAUUUGGUGUUGCAGGGAAACAGGACUGUUACUUUGAAAAAAUUAGAGUGUUUAAAGCAGGCUAACGCUUGAAUACAUUAGCAUGGAAUAAUGAAAUAGGACGUUUGAUCCUAUUUUGUUGGUUUCUAGGAUUGACGUAAUGAUUAAUAGGGAUAGUUGGGGGCAUUAGUAUUCAAUUGUCAGAGGUGAAAUUCUUGGAUUUAUUGAAGACUAACUACUGCGAAAGCAUUUGCCAAGGAUGUUUUCAUUAAUCAAGAACGAAAGUUAGGGGAUCGAAGACGAUCAGAUACCGUCGUAGUCUUAACCAUAAACUAUGCCGACUAGGGAUCGGAUGAUGUUAAUUUUUUAAUGACUCA
rnacentral:rRNA from 1 species